rnacentral:rRNA from 1 species
GAUGAACCCUAGCGGCAGGCCUAACACAUGCAAGUCGAGGGGUAGCAGGAUUAAGCUUGCUUAAUUGCUGACGACCGGCGCACGGGUGCGUAACGCGUAUGCAACCUACCUUAUACUGGGGUAUAGCCCGGAGAAAUUCGGAUUAAUCCCCCAUAGUACUAAUGAAUCGCAUGGUUUAUUAGUUAAAGCAUUGCGGCAUAAGAUGGGCAUGCGUCCUAUUAGCUAGAUGGUGAGGUAACGGCUCACCAUGGCUACGAUAGGUAGGGGGCCUGAGGGGGUGGUCCCCCACACUGGUAAUGAGACACGGACCAGACUCCUACGGGAGGCAGCAGUGAGGAAUAUUGGUCAAUGGGCGCAAGCCUAAACCAGCCAUGCCGCGUGCAGGAAGAAUGCCCUAUGGGUUGUAAACUGCUUUUAUUUGGGAAUAAACCUCUUUACGUGUAGAGAGCUGAAGGUACCAAAUGAAUAAGCACCGGCUAACUCCGUGCCAGCCGCCGCCGUAA